ensembl:snoRNA small Cajal body-specific RNA 11
UUGUCCUGGCCUAUGCUUUCUCUGCUCCCCUGUGCUCAGUUGUAAUGGGAGUGUAGCACAACGCACAGCAGGUCUCUCUCAGUUUAGGAGGGCCUCCCUGAGGAUAGGGCUGGCUUUUAAAGGAUGAGAAACCUGG